rnacentral:tRNA from 1 species
GGAGAGAUGGCUGAGUGGUCGAAAGCGGCACCCUGCUAAGGUGUUACACGGGUUACCGUGUCGAGGGUUCGAAUCCCUCUCUCUCCGCCA